UACAGAGGCCUCGAGCGUUAGGCGGAAUCACUGGGCUUAAAGCGUGUGUAGGCGGAUCGGUAAGUACCUUGUGAAAUCCCACGGCUUAACUGUGGAACUGCUGGGUAUACUGCCAGUCUUGAGCCACUCAGGGGCUACCGGAACAAAUGGUGGAGCGGUGAAAUGCGUAGAUAUCAUUUGGAACGCCAAUGGUGAAAACAGGUAGCUGGGGGUCUGCUGACGCUGAGACACGAAAGCCAGGGGAGCAAACGGG
rnacentral:rRNA from 1 species